rnacentral:tRNA from 1 species
GCCGACUGGUAUAGUGGUUAGUGACCCUGUCUGCUAAGCCGAUGGUCCCGGGUUCGAUUCCCGGCUGGAGCA